rnacentral:rRNA from 1 species
CAGUAGCCACGGUAAUACGGAGGAUCCAAGCGUUAUCCGGAAUCAUUGGGUUUAAGGGGUCCGUAGGCGGUUUAGUAAGUCAGUGAUGAAAGCCCAUCGCUCAACGGUGGAACGGCCAUUGAUACUGCUGAACUUGAAUUAUUAGGAAGUAACUAGAAUAUGUAGUGUAGCGGUGAAAUGCUUAGAGAUUACAUGGAAUACCAAUUGCGAAGGCAGGCUACUACUAAUUGAUUGACGCUGAUGGACGAAAGCGUGGGGAGCGAACAGGAUUAGAUACCCCUGUAGUCCCUGUCUCUUAUAC